CCUACGGGGGGCAGCAGUCGAGAAUCAUUCACAAUGGGGGAAACCCUGAUGGUGCGACGCCGCGUGGGGGAAUGAAGGUCUUCGGAUUGUAAACCCCUGUCAUGUGGGAGCAAAUUAAAAAGAUAGUACCACAAGAGGAAGAGACGGCUAACUCUGUGCCAGCAGCCGCGGUAAUACAGAGGUCUCAAGCGUUGUUCGGAAUCACUGGGCGUAACGCGUGCGUAGGCUGUUUCGUAAGUCGUGUGUGAAAGGCGCGGGCUCAACCCGCGGACGGCACAUGAUACUGCGAGACUAGAGUAAUGUAGGGGGAACCGGAAUUCUCGGUGUAGCAGUGAAAUGCGUAGAUAUCGAGAGGAACACUCGUGGCGAAGGCGGGUUCCUGGACAUUAACUGACGCUGAGGCACGAAGGCCAGGGGAGCGAAAGGGAUUAGAUACCCCUGUAGUC
rnacentral:rRNA from 1 species